rnacentral:rRNA from 18 species
CAACGGAUAUCUCGGCUCUCGCAUCGAUGAAGAACGUAGCAAAAUGCGAUACUUGGUGUGAAUUGCAGAAUCCCGCGAAUCAUCGAGUCUUUGAACGCAAGUUGCGCCCGAAGCCUUUAGGCCGAGGGCACGUCUGCCUGGGCGUCAUGCACUGCGA